rnacentral:piRNA from 1 species
CCAGCGAGUCUGGAGAGGAAAGGCGUGUA